GUCCGGACACGGAAAGGACUGACAGAUUGAUAGCUCUUUCUCGAUUCUGUGGGUGGUGUUGCAUGUCCGUACUUAGUUGGUGGAGCGAUUUGUCUGGUUAAUUCCGAUAAUGAACGAGACUCUGGCAUGCUAACUAGUUACGUGACCCCCGAGUGGUCAGAGUCCCAAAAAAUUUUAAAAGGGUGUAUGGGGUGCUCAGGGAGGGGUAGUAUCUCUGGUAUGGAGGGCUUGUCAUGCCCUUCCAGGGC
rnacentral:ncRNA from 1 species